rnacentral:misc_RNA from 1 species
UCUCCGUUGGUGAACCAGCGGAGGGAUCAUUACAGGAUUCGCAAGAACUCCCGUAACCACUGUGAACCUUACCUUCUGUUGCCUCGGCGCAGGCUGGGAGCUUCUGUAAACUCCCCCACGCGGACUCACCUCUGCGCGGAGCAGGCCCGCCGGCGGCCCCACCAAACUCUUGUUUUUAGUGUCUCUUCUGAGUUAAACAAACAAAUGAAUCAAAACUUUCAACAACGGAUCUCUUGGUUCUGGCAUCGAUGAAGAACGCAGC